GACGAACGCUGGCGGCGUGCCUAAUACAUGCAAGUCGAGCGGACGAAUCGAAAGCUUGCUUUUGAUUCGUUAGCGGCGGACGGGUGAGUAACACGUGGGCAACCUGCCCUGUAGACGGGGAUAACACCGAGAAAUCGGUGCUAAUACCGGAUAACACGAAAUGUCGCAUGACGUCUCGUUGAAAGACGGCGCAAGCUGCCGCUACAGGAUGGGCCCGCGGCGCAUUAGCUAGUUGGUGAGGUAACGGCUCACCAAGGCGACGAUACGUAGCCGACCUGAGAGGGUGAUCGGCCACACUGGGACUGAGACACGGCCCAGACUCCUACGGGAGGCAGCAGUAGGGAAUCUUCCGCAAUGGACGAAAGUCUGACGGAGCAACGCCGCGUGAGCGAAGAAGGCCUUCGGGUCGUAAAGCUCUGUUGUUAGGGAAGAACAAGUAACGCAGUAACUGGCGUUACCGUGACGGUACCUAACGAGAAAGCCACGGCUAACUACGUG
rnacentral:rRNA from 1 species